GAGGAUUUAAUAAGUCUAAAUACAAGCCCCGACUCAUCACCGGUAAUAAAGGGGUAAGUCAAUAUUGGUUCUCUAGUGGAAUGAACUAAUAUUUAUAAAUUAAUUAUGGUCUGGGCUGACCAUAGAUAAUUAAUUUAUUUGAGGCCCAUCUUUAUUCCUUGUAUUUGGUCCCUGGACUGGCCCAAAGUCUCCUAGCCCAGUAAGAGCUAGAAAACGCCCCAUAACCUAAAUCUGGCGCCUCCCCCUUAAUUCUGUAUUAUAAAAUACAGCUGUCAGCUCUCAGGAAAUACACUGAUAAAAUAUUAGAGUUUGAGAACUGAGAAGGGGCGCAGAAACACGUUUGGGAUUUUAGCUUGGGAUUUCUCACAGUUCGUUGUCCAUCCAACGGUGAGACUUGAGCGGGAUACAGUCUAGAAGAUCAGAACUGGAGUUGUUCGAUACGAUCAUCAAUCAUCUGUGCAUCCGAUUCACAAGUAAGUAAAUCCUAACACCUGUGUGCAGCUGUUAAAUUCAUAGGAGCAUGUUAGGAUUAAUCGUUGUAUGGUAAAUUAAUAAUAACCAAGAAACGAUCAUCGGGCAAAGUGGAACGUUAAUUCAGUUUAAUAUUCCUU
rnacentral:lncRNA from 1 species